GCUAAGCAGCCAACAAAGCCACGGCCACCUCGGCUGUGCUGGGCUCUGCCGUCAGGGCAGCUCACGGGCCACUCCGCAGAAGCAGGGCAUUCUGUCCUUUCUCUUUUUAAAUCCACGUCAUCAUCUGAUCAUCAUGGAAAUCAAUCUCUUCAAGUCACCACGCAAAGGCGUAUCCAUGGCAACCUCAAGAGGAAGGACACAGAAACGAUGCUCCAGCGGCUGCAGCAGGAGAAGAUAACCUCGGACCAACAGUAUGGAAGCUGCAGAGACGUAUUUCAACAAAACAAAAAAGUUCCUUACUGAGAGAUUCCAAGAUGAAACGGGAUGGACGCCUUAUAUGCAUGCAGUAAUUUCCCCACUAUUAGAAACGUGCAAGUCCAGACCAGCCACUGGGCAAGGAUAUUUUAGAUGGAACUCAACUGUCACAGGGGUAACCAGACUAGAACCACAGCAUGUUAGAUCUGAAAGGAAUCUUAGAGAUCUUCUAGUCCAGUCUGCUAUUUUAUAGGCCCGGACAGGGAAGCGAUCACUCAGAAGCAGCCCAGUUUGCUGUGGAGAGCAGGGCGCAGAGCACGGUCUCCUUCAAUCCAGUGAUCCACAUCCUUGCUGCUCAAAGUGUGUGUGGUCCACGGAUCAGCAGCUUCAGCGUCACCUGGGAACCAAAUCUGUAUUUUAUUGAACAAGAAACCCCCCCUCCUCCCCUCGGCCAGAUGCAUGCGCCACUAAAGUUCAAAAAGCACUGACCUACACUACACCCUUCCAAACCUUUAGUUUCGAUGCUGGAACUCCAUUUCCCAAACCGUUUCAUAUGUUAAACGGAAACAGUGCCCAAGAUUUUCCAUUCAAAUCUGGGAAACUCUCCAUACUGUUUACUUCCAGUGGGAAGUUCAAGGUAAAUAUCAUUAGCAUAUUGAAAACUGGCACAUUCUAUGGUAGAGAAAACCCUAACCAUGAAGUUUCUAAACAUAUUUGAGCACAAAACGCCUUUUGAAAACAGUUACCGUUAACUACUAUCCUUAACGUCCCGUGGCUUGGGCUUUGGCAGUCAGUCAGGUAAAGUGUCAGUCUCCACCUCAGAGCUCCUCGACUCUCAGGACCUUAAGCACAUGCAUUCGUAACUCGUCAGUAUGGGCGUGCUGCUCUGCUCACUGUAAAAAUGAAGGCAAGUUUCCACGUGACCGCCUCUUUAACAACAGCGGAGUUCCUCGUCUGAGUGAUUUCGUUGGGAGGAUGCGCAAGACGACUUCCCAAGGGUCAUCCUUCCAGCAACGAAGUUAACAUCAGUCCAGGUCGGUGAUUCAUGAUCAGUCUCGGGGCAGCUUGAUGGCUGAUGGAGGCUUAGAGUCUGCCUUCAACGCAGCCGUCACUGCAGAAAUCCAGGCUCGCGAGCUGACAGAGAUGUGGACAGGAGCACCACCGAUUUGCUGAGGUGUCCUGACUGGCUAUUGAAGCCAAAAAAGCAGCACAGAAGGAAAAAGAAAUUGAUGAACAGGAAGCGAAUGCCUCGACAUUUCACAGAAGAUCUUAUUAGUACAGGAAUCUAUGAAUCUUCUGGAAAACAGUGUUUGCCUCUGGUUCAACUCAUACAACAGCUUCUUAGAAACAUCGCUUCUCAGUCGCCAGAUUGAAAGGUGUUGCCCGUCGGGUAUCGUCACGUCUAGACUGAGCAGCACAGUCGUGGAAGAUCUGCGCCACCGCAUUUGCUGCUGCGUUUUCAGCACCUACUUCUCAGUAAACCUCAUCCAGGAGGACGUGUUGGUCAGACUUCAGGUAUUUCUACUUAAAAGCGAAAGUCAGUACGGAGUCACACGAGCCUCUCCUAACAGCAGCUGUCCCUAGAAGUACGGGUCAUCUGAAGACACCACUGCCAGCCCCACCAUGGCCGCCCUCCGUGUGCUCACUGCCACGGCCCCGAGGAUUUGCACACACUUGACAGUGCAGUAACACCGAGCUACUGAUGUAGGUGCAGAAACCACACUUGGAGGGAGAGCUGCAGAUUCCCCAGCGCCCAGGGGGACCUGCCCCCAAGGCCCACCCAGCCCCCCGAUGUCCAUGACUUCCAUGUGGACCGGCCUCUUGAGGAGGCGCUGGUGAACCCGGAGCUGAUUCACCCCUUCAUCCCAGAGGGCAGAGAUGCUGGGCCAGGCCCCGCCUGUGUGCCUCCAACCCUGGACAACUCAGGUCUCCUGUUCCUCUGCUCCAGCCUCAUUCAGCCACAGCGGGCCUACUCCAUGCCUGGUCCUGUCCCCAGCCAGGCGAUGAGGUCACCCAGUUCCCUGUGCGGUCGGCCCCCCGCCGGGUGCUGCUGACGGAUCCAUCAGGAGGAGGCAGCGCGUCCCGCUGCCGCGCCCGCCAUGGUGCUGGUUCUCUGGCGGCUGCCUUCCUGGUCAGGGGUGGUCCUGGGGGAGCCCUGAGUGUACGGUGUCCUCAUGUCGGAAACCCCAGUGGGAAGGAAAGUCUGGUUUGAUUUUGUUCUCAGAGACAUUAAACACUAGUUCAAUUUUGAGAUUCA